UGCGCAGGCGGUUAUGCAAGACAGAUGUGAAAUCCCCGGGCUCAACCUGGGAACUGCAUUUGUGACUGCAUGGCUAGAGUACGGUAGAGGGGGAUGGAAUUCCGCGUGUAGCAGUGAAAUGCGUAGAUAUGCGGAGGAACACCGAUGGCGAAGGCAAUCCCCUGGACCUGUACUGACGCUCAUGCACGAAAGCGUGGGGAGCAAACAGGAUUAGAUACCCUGGUAGUCCACGCCCUAAACGAUGUCAACUGGUUGUUGGGAGGGUUUCUUCUCAGUACGAAGCUAACGCGUGAAGUUGACCGCCUGGGGAGUACGGCCGCAAGGUUGAA
rnacentral:rRNA from 1 species